rnacentral:rRNA from 1 species
GACGAACGCUGGCGGCGUGCUUAACACAUGCAAGUCGAACGGAAAGGCCCUGCUUUUGUGGGGUGCUCGAGUGGCGAACGGGUGAGUAACACGUGAGUAACCUGCCCUUGACUUUGGGAUAACUUCAGGCAACUGGGGCUAAUGCCGGAUAGGAGCUCCUGCUGCAUGGUGGGGGUUGGAAAGUUUCGGCGGUUGGGGAUGGACUCGCGGCUUAUCAGCUUGUUGGUGGGGUAGUGGCUUACCAAGGCUUUGACGGGUAGCCGGCCUGAGAGGGUGACCGGCCACAUUGGGACUGAGAUACGGCCCAGACUCCUACGGGAGGCAGCAGUGGGGAAUAUUGCACAAUGGGCGGAAGCCUGAUGCAGCAACGCAGCGUGCGGGAUGACGGCCUUCGGUUUGUAAACCGCUUUCGCCUGUGACGAAGCGUGAGUGACGGUAAUGGGUAAAGAAGCACCGGCUAACUACGUG